rnacentral:misc_RNA from 1 species
GUCCAUUGGAAUCCAGUUUCUAGAACAUGUUAGCUGUGUGCUGUCACAUGGCCUGCUACUGUUCCCACUAACAUCUUGGGAUGGUUUUCACCUUUCUUUGUGGGUGUUUAGCAGUUGGUUUGUCUUAUGGGUUGAACAUAUUCUGAUGAAGAAGUGAUCUCACCAUGGGAGCAUUUCUAGAUAAGCCAAAAACAGAGAAGCACAAUGAGCAUGGUGGGGGAAAUGGCCUUAGGUAUGGACUCUCCAGCAUGCAAGGCUGGAGGAUUGAGAUGGAGGAUGCUCAUGCUGCUGUAGCCAACUUACCCGGUGAUCUCAAGGACUGGGCUUUCUUUGCAGUGUUUGAUGGUCAUGCAGGAGCAAGAGUUUCUGCCCACUGCUCAGAACACCUCUUGAAUUCUAUAACGUCAGGGGAGGAAUUUCAACCACAGUCGAUAGCGAAAUUAGCAGAGGAAAAUGAAGAAACGACCAUAAACACCAUAAAAAAAGGCAUUCAUGCAGGUUUUCUGAGGUUAGAUGAGUCUAUGCGGCAAAUGCCUGAGGUGGCCAGUGGAGAAGACAAGAGUGGAACAACUGCAGUCUGUGCUCUCAUAUCACCAACACACAUCUUUGUGGCAAAUUGCGGAGACUCGCGGGCAGUUUUAUACCGAGGAGGCAAAAUUGGCUUCAGCACACAAGAUCAUAAACCUGUGAACCCAGUAGAGAAGGAGAGGAUCCAGAAUGCAGGCGGAUCAGUGAUGAUUCAGAGAGUUAACGGAUCCCUUGCUGUCUCACGAGCACUUGGAGAUUAUGAGUACAAAAAUGUGGAGGGUAAAGGACCAUGUGAGCAGCUGGUGUCCCCAGAACCUGAAAUAUACGUAGAGCGCCGCCAGAGUGAUGAUGAGUUCUUGGUAUUGGCCUGUGACGGAGUAUGGGAUGUCAUGACCAAUGAAGACCUCUGUGCUUUCGUGCGGUCCCGUCUUCUCCUAUCCGAUGAUCUGGAAUCCAUAGCUAACCAUGUUGUAGACACCUGUCUUUACAAGGGAAGUCGUGACAACAUGAGUAUAGUGCUGUUAACACUCCCAGGGGCCCCUAAGGUAUCUGAAGAGGCUAUUAAAAAGGAAAAAGAAAUGGAAGAUAUAAUAGAGAAAAAGGUUGCGGAGGUGUGUGCACAGGAGGGACCAGUGAGCAUGCCACAGAUAAUGUCAGUGCUAGCUGAAGAAUAUAUCCCAGGCCUUCCUCCAGGUGGAGGUCAUCCUGCAAAGCGAGGCUUUGUGGAGCAGAUAUUCAGAAAGUUGCGACCUGACUGUGCAAAUGCAGAGAGCAUGGAUGAGAUGGGGGAGGAUGGACUGAGUGGUAAUUUGAUGUUCUUCCCGAGUCCAUCAAUGCGUGACAAGAUAACCUCCAUUUUCGAAAACUCGUCCCUUGAUGAUGACGCUUGAUGAUGAUGAUGAUCAUGAUCAUGAUGAAGGGUUCUGGGUUGGGUUUAGGGGCAGAAGGAGAAUGAUGCCUACAGUAUUGAGAGAUACACCUAGGGUUCUGUAACAACGCAACCCCUCCCCCCCACCCAGCGAUAAAAACACAAACCCUCAAAAUGUUGAUGUGCUGAUGAUACAGUUUAUGCAAGUGUGCAGAAGCAUUCAACAAAUAUGUCAAGAUUAGGAAUUCUGUGCCUUAGGUAUAACAUCAGUAAGAUUCAUCUUUUUUUUUUUUCUUUUUUUUUUUUUUACUCCUUUUUUGUAUCUGUAUUCUCUCUCUCUCUCUAUCUCUCUCUCUCUCAAAGCUGUGACUAUAAAAAGUGAUCAUUCCUGGUACUCAGCCUAAGGUUCGCGAGUUGCUGAUCUUGCCACAAAUAUUUUUGCAGUCAGAUGUGCUAGUUUCAUAUGUGAUAGUCCCGAUGCUUUCGCCUUCCAGACUCGUAACCUUGCUCUCGAGUUGUCAUGUCGCUCAACACCAACAGACAGUUAAGUUUUGAGGACAGUAGAUGAUGGGAUUACCUUUUUAGAGAUCUUUCUUUUUUCUUUCUUUUUUUUAAUCAUUAGUGAUUGUGAUAACUUGUGAAAAUGAUAAUUAAGAGAAGAGAGAUGCACAGAUAUUGAGUUUCAUCCAUAUUCCGAUUAACAAAGUCUCUCUGCACAUUGGUAGCUCGAGGGUGACUACUUGUUUCUGGAAGGAGAGUGUGUGAAAGAAUGUAAUGAAGAUAUGUUAAUACAGUUAAUAAUAAUGAUAAGUUUUA